GCCUGGGUGGCUCAGUUGGUUAAGCAUCUGACUUCAGCUCAGGUCACGAUCUCACAGUUUGUGGGUUUGAGCCCCAUGUCGGGCU
rnacentral:tRNA from 1 species